rnacentral:lncRNA from 1 species
GUUCAAUCACAUCAGUGUGUUCUCUCUAUAAAAGAUGAUGCUAUUAAUAUUCCCACUCUGCCCUUCCUACACACUUCCUCUUCUGUCCCCAUAUACUUUAUAUUAUCAUGACCCUAAAUAUAUCCUCUACAAGCUGCUACCUAAUGUUUUAAAUUCCCCCUUAAACCUUUGGUGCCUUUCAUUCAUGUUUGCUAAAAUGCCACUUAAUCUAAUAUGUUGAGCUAGUAUCAAUUAACUUUACACUACACAGUAGAUACAAGGAACACACCAUCCAUUCCCAUACCCUGUGAGAUCAUCUAAUCCAACCCUCUUGCAUUAACACAAAUCUAGGAACAUCCACCAAAUGUCCAGAUUUUUAACUCUGGUACUCAGUUUCUUGAAGUGCAAAAUACAGAAGUUGUAUUGAAUAAUUCCCCACAUCCCUUCUUCUCAUGAUAUUCUAAAGAGCUUCUGAGCCUGUUUUCCGCCUAUAAAUUAGACACAUUGGUGAAUCUGUUCUUAUUCCUAACCAAACUGUUAUAAGGGUCAAAUAAAACCAUGUUUGUAAAAAGCUUCUAGAAACAAUAAAGUACAAAAAUAAAUUAAUUAACUAAAAAUAAAAAUAAAAAGGUUGGGCUCGGUGGCUCACCCCUACAAUCCCAGGACUUUAGGAGGCUUAGGUGGAAUGACUGCUUGAGCCCAGGAGUUCAAGACCAACCUGGCCAACACAGCCAGAUGCAGAAAGAAAGUAAGUAAGUAAGUAAGUAAGGAAGGAAGGAAGGAAGGAAGGAAGGGCUAUACAAAUGUAGGAGAAUUAAGCUAUAUGUGUGGGGGAGUGUGCUCUGCCAUUAAUUAGACAUUACUUAGAAAACCUACUCUACCUCUCUAACAUGCCUCAGAGGGUUGGUGUGAUGAUUAAAUGGGAACAUGUAAAGUAGCACACUCAUUUGCCAAUCGAGACCUUCACAGAAUCUCAGGAAUAAAAGUGACCUUCGAGUGCAUGUAAUCCAACUCAUUCCACCCAAGGAGAUUCUGAAGUUCAAUUCCCAGUGUUCAUACAAGCCUCUAGGUGUCACUUCCAAGAAUCAUCUUUGGAGAGUCCUUAAAACUGCUUCUCUAUUAAUUAGAACUGCCUUCAAAAGCAGCAAAAGACAACUGUCCCUGACCCAAUAAGAGAUCUGAAAACAGACAGAAGACAACAAAGCAAAGACAAAUUCUUCUUUUUGGAGUUCUCCUACAAUAUAAACAGCUCUACUUCCUAUGAUGCUUCUCAUAACAUCUACAUUCAGAUCCCUCUCCGUAUCAUGGAUGUUCUCCUCCAGCUUCC